GCUGAGAGGGCUGUUCUGCUUGAUCUGGCUGAUUUCGAUCUGGCCAUUUCCAUUCUUGGGUUUGAGGCCUGGCUCUCCUAUGCCCCCUCAGGGUAUGGGCCCCUCUUCACCUCCCCCUGCCCUAGAGUCAUGGGGCUGCUAGAGGCACUGGCACAGCCAGGACUGGCACCUUGUUCCCUACCUGAUACUAGGACACCCUAGGCCUGCUCAGACUUAUGUCAGAGACAGAUCUGUCACCUGUGUGUGGUCCUAUGUCCAGAAUAUUUCAUCAUUUGCCAAGCAGAGCUGCAGGUGCUACGGACAAGGACAGGGUAAUGUAAAACUGGAUGUUCCCUGCAUCAUGGAGCCCUAGAGUGCCUGGGCUGCAGGCAUGGGGGAGGUUUGGUGUCCCCCUUCACUAGACACUGUCUCCUGCCCUGCCCACAGGAUGCAGCAGGGUGUGGGGACACUUGUCCCCCUGUGAGCCUCUUGUGACUCCUGUGCUUGUCAAUUCCCAGCAGCAUGCAGGCAGGGACCUGGAUAGCAUGGGAAGAGUCCACAGCCUAUGCAUCCCUGGCUAGAAUGGGCCAUGGUGGCCCAGUGAGAGACUGGAGCAGGGCUGGUUCUACUCCCCCCAGGCCCCCAGGCGAGAGGAUGUGGUGGAGGAGGAGCAUGUCCCAGCUGGGAUGCAGGAGCUGUGCAGCCAGCAGGCAGGAGACCCUCAGAAACCCAGUGCUCAGGGUGAGUCCCCACAAAUGUCCGUGGCAGAAUCCUAUGUGGGUUGUGUGCCUGGGGCCAGAGCUGUGCCUGGCCAGAUGCAGGACGAUGGAGAGCAAUACUAUCUCACAAAGGUGGGCAGGGUAACCGGGUGCCUGGAGGGGCUGCAGGGUCCAUUGCAGGCAACUGCAGGCUCCCUGAACAGUCUCUUUUCAUCCACAGCUGUGGUUUCAGGGACCCUCAUGCUCCUGGAGCUGCAGCCAGCCUCAGAGCCCAGUCCAGAGCCUGAGGAUGGUGGUGAGGACCUGCAGCAGGGUCUGCCCCUGGGGCAGCCCCCAGCAGCCUGGAAAGAAGGGAACCUGGGCAGCCCUGCCAGCGCCCCAGAGCCCAGUGUGGCACAAAGCCCCAGAGGGGAGCAACUCACCCUGGGCCAGCCCAGUGCUGGCAGCCAGCUUCAUGUUGGGGUGCACUGCCAGGUGCUGGGGCCAGGUGGGAGACACGCAAGGCCAUCAGUGGGUAAGUGUAGCCCUGAGGGGGGGGGUGACAGGAGAGCUGUGGCCCCUUGCCAGCUGGGCGGUGCCACCCCAAAGCCCCCCCACUCCCCUGUCCUGCAGCAUCCCAGGCAGCCCUGGG
rnacentral:lncRNA from 1 species